rnacentral:siRNA from 1 species
UAAUGGGUGAAUAUAGAUAAGG